AAAUGUGUAAUUAAGAAAUGUACAUAUUGUAAAGGAAUAGCCUGGAAAUCAGGGCUGUAGCUCUUUUAACUAUCUCUCAUAAACUAUUUUUCAAUCUUCUAACACCAUGCAUCCUUGAAUCCAAUGCAGCGUUUGUGUUUGUGACUGAUGAUCUUAAUAAGAACGAGUUUGGUUUAUCGGUUGAAAGUAGUUUCACCUCAAAUUAUUACCCAGACAACAAAUUUGUUAGCCAACAGAGCUUUUUUAUUUCCUACAUUUCAAUGAUUUCAUGUCUGAGUGUAUCUUUGAGUAGAGCCGUAGACUCGUAGAGGAUAAGCCACAAGGAUAUGAGUCUCCAUUCUCCAAGGAUAUAUCUAAACAAUUUGAUAGAGCCCAAGGUUGAUAACCCAACACAUAAUCAUAUUAGUGUGACUCGAGUCACUUGACACGCUUCCUAGCUCCACCGCCAAAUUUUCAUAGCUCCCAAACCUCUCAACUGCACCUUCAUCAAUUCAAACUCAAACCAGAGAACCAAGCAGAGACGGUAUCAACAGUUUCCUGGCAGCCCAAAGGAGAUUCCAAUCCAAUCCCGCUGUCGCCCAGCCGCCCACCCAGGAAGUCAUCGAUGAGAUUAAUAAAUUCCGGCAUCUUAGACAGAAGUAGAGCCGGUGGAAGGGAUGAGGAUGAUGAGGGAGAAAUAGAGGUUGAAACCACUAAUGAGGGUGGCGAAGUCUCCCAAGCACUAGAGGUUGCGAAAGCGCUCAGUAGAGCUUCCAAAGUGACGAAAUCGGGGAGAAUUAGGAUGGCAUUACUGAAGGAUUGAAGGAGCUUGACAUGGAUCAUUAUUACGACGAGGAUGAUGAUGGUAUUUCAGUUUAAUCUUCGUUUUGUUUAACAUUAUAUUUGGGCAUAUAAGAGGGGGUUGGUUAGUAACUUAGUAUGAUGGCUAAACUUGUAAGAUAGUGAAAUCUGUGAAGUUAUUUGCCUUGGUUCUUUGUUAGAUGGUUUUAUUAUAUGGAUUCUCCGUGUCAGUAAAAAUGGUGGCAUUGGAAUGGCAAUCAGCUGUGAGAGAAGGUUGAAGUAGAAGCAUCGCUAAAUUUACUAAUUGUAAUUUGCUCAAGUUUAUAGUGGUUUACCACAUCUUUAAAUUGUCAGUAAGGUUUUAAGCUGACAGUGUAUCUUAUUGAUGUUUGACUUCAGGCAUUGAUUUGUUUAGUGGUGGGUUUGGGACCUUCACUACCCAAGUAAUGAUAUGGAUCCAUAUCUUAAGAAGGACAAGGAUGAUGUAGAUUUUAAAACUUAAUGUGCCGUUAUCUGCUUAAUUUGCCUGUAUUGUGAGGCUAGAAAAGCAACUUGGUGUUUGUUGACAUUUAUAUUUUCUUAUCGGACACCAUCAACCCAAAUGGAUUGUCAUAGUUUGUGCUUGCAAUGAGGAUGGUAUCAGUUGGUUCAAGGUUAAGCUUUGGGAUUUGUCAAAUAAUCAACCUUCAUGCAUUGCGUCCGUGAAUCCUAAACUCCUAAAGCAGUAAGUUAUCUGUGAUUUAUUCACUGUAUACAGUGAUGACAUUUUAAACUAAUUUCAUUUUUCUUACAUGAGAUUGAUUGUUAAACUGUUCUUAAUGUUGUCAGGGCGCUGUGUUUUCUAUUUCAUUUUCACAAGAUAACCCCUUUUUGCUGGCCAUGGGAGGCUCGAAAGGGAGAUCAAAAAAGAGCUGUCAUUUCAGAUCUUGUUUGUGUUUUGGGUUUUGGAAGUUUCUCCUACAUUGAUUGAUGAUGGCUAAUUCUAUAUUACUGUAAUUUCAGGUCUGGAAUACAUCAUAUGAUUCUGUAGUUGCCCAAAGAUUUGGAAAAUUGGAAGUUACAUCAAGAAGAGCAGACCCCAUUCUGCGGCUUCAUCAAGAUAAUUAAGUUACAUGAGCCCUUCGUUUUUUUUUUUUUUUACAGAAGUUGCCCAACAGCAGUGGUCUGAAAGUUUUAAAAUCCAUAUGUUUCAGAUCCUCAUCACCUCUUCUGAAGUAUACUUUAGUGUCAUACACUAGAAUUGGUAUAUUUUCAAUGUUCUUGUAUUGAUGUUGUGUCAAAAGAUGUGAAUUGUGGAAAAGACAUGGGAAGCGGUUUUUAAAAAAAUUGUUUUUUGUGCGCA